UACGGGGGGGGCAAGCGUUGUUCGGAAUUACUGGGCGUAAAGGGCUCGUAGGCGGCCAACUAAGUCAGACGUGAAAUCCCUCGGCUUAACCGGGGAACUGCAUCUGAUACUGGAUGGCUUGAGUUCGGGAGAGGGAUGCGGAAUUCCAGGUGUAGCGGUGAAAAUGCGUAGAUAUCUGGAGGAACACCGGUGGCGAAGGCGGCAUCCUGGACCGACACUGACGCUGAGGAGCGAAAGCCAGGGGAGCAAACGGGG
rnacentral:rRNA from 1 species